rnacentral:lncRNA from 1 species
GACGUAUCCAAUGCCACAUACAAUGCAUAGGUAAUACAAGUGUUUAGUUAUGAAAUUGUACAAAGUAAGACGGUAGAGGCUUGUGCUUUCUCAGGUUUAAUGCAAUCUUCUCACUUAGCAGUAAUAAUAUUUUGUCAAUUUAUGUUAUAGAAGAACAAUAAAGCAUUAGGCAAGACUCCAUGCAUCUAUGUGUGUGAUUUAGGCUACC